UAUAACUUACACUAUAACUCUUGGUCAGUGCGUUUAAAGUUCUGUCAAUUUCCGUUUCCUUUUCGAAAUAAAUGCUGGCAAAUGAACAAGAGAACAUUUACAUGAUUAAUUGCUCACAAAUGCCAAAGUAAUUUUGCAAUUAUUUGGGUUUUUUGAAAAUUAUCUAAGCUUUUUGAAAAGCAUAUGCGGUGGGUGAUAAACAAAAGGACUCCUCGUUAUGUGAUAAAUAUUUGUUUCUAUAGUCGAAACCAUAAAUUGUUGGAAAUGAUAGUGGCUAAAUUUCCAAGCAUUUAACAUUGACCCAAAAGCUGAUUUUGAUAACCAAACUGAAUGAAGAGAAGACAAGGGAGCUAAAUGUGGCUCUAUUGAAUAUAGACCAAUUUAUUUGUCCUUCAUUGUGUUAAGCAUGAAGGGGCAAAUUAAUGACUUCAAAAAUGAGACCUUGAUUUUUUGUUUUAUCAGAAAAUUGGCAAAAUAAAUGACUUUAAUUUUUUAUUGAUUCAA
rnacentral:sRNA from 1 species